rnacentral:rRNA from 1 species
GUGAACCAGCGGAGGGAUCAUUACAGAGUUAUCCAACUCCCAAACCCAUGUGAACCUACCACUGUUGCUUCGGCGGCCUCGCCCCGGGCGCGUUCGCGCGGCCCGGACCCAGGCGUCCGCCGGAGGCUCCAAACUCUUGUCUUUUAGUGUAUUUCUGAGUGGCAUAAGCAAUAAAUCAAAACUUUCAGCAACGGAUCUCUUGGUUCUGGCAUCGAUGAAGAACGCAGCGAAAUGCGAUAAGUAAUGUGAAUUGCAGAAUUCAGUGAAUCAUCGAAUCUUUGAACGCACAUUGCGCCCGCCAGUAUUCUGGCGGGCAUGCCUGUCUGAGCGUCAUUUCAACCCUCAGGACCCGUUCGCGGGACCUGGCGUUGGGGAUCAGCCUGCCCCUGGCGGCGGCUGGCCCUGAAAUCCAGUGGCGGUUCCCUCGCGAACUCCUCCGUGCAGUAAUUAAACCUCUCGCGGCAGGAUAGCGGUUGAACCACGCCGUUAAACCCCCCACUUCUCAAGGUUGACCUCAGAUCAGGUAGGAAUACCCGCUGAACUUAA